rnacentral:rRNA from 1 species
GAUGAACGCUGGCGGCGUGCUUAACACAUGCAAGUCGAACGGGAAAUAUUUCAUCGAGACUUCGGUGGAUUUGAUUUAUUUCUAGUGGCGGACGGGUGAGUAACGCGUGGGUAACCUGCCUUAUACAGGGGGAUAACAGUCAGAAAUGGCUGCUAAUACCGCAUAAGCGCACAGAGCUGCAUGGCUCAGUGUGCAAAACUCCGGUGGUAUAAGAUGGACCCGCGUUGGAUUAGCUAGUUGGGGGGGUAACGGCCCACCAAGGCGACGAUCCAUAGCCGGCCUGAGAGGGUGGACGGCCACAUUGGGACUGAGACACGGCCCAGACUCCUACGGGAGGCAGCAGUGGGGAAUAUUGCACAAUGGGGGAAACCCUGAUGCAGCGACGCCGCGUGAAGGAAGAAGUAUCUCGGUAUGUAAACUUCUAUCAGCAGGGAAGAUAGUGACGGUACCUGACUAAGAAGCCCCGGCUAACUACGUG